AACGCGCGCGUCCGGGUAGAAAACAUUUACAUAAAAAAAUGCACGUUGGGAAUGCUGCCGUACUCCUCUAGCUGAAAUGUCUAGGCGUGCGUGGUCAUCAUUAAUGGCUGUUUUAUGCUGGAAAGUUUCUCCGUCUAGGGGCUGCAACUGAAGUUCACUAGCGACACGCAUGUUUCCGUGAGGAGGUCCGCCGUGAUAUCUCUUACUUCAUUGUGGCGAAGUGUCGAGAAACCUCCUCUAGGGCAAAUCAUUGAAUGGUCCACGUCCAACUUUUUCCCGCAGGAGCAUCUGGACGGUACGUUGGGUAGGUGCCAACCAUAUCUCAAACAUAGUGCAUCCGGAAGUCUCCCCUCUAGAGGUGAAAGACGUGACUCUACUCCUCAUAACACAAACCCAUGAUUCCCACGACUUUUCUGAGUUUUCACAUCGACAUCUGGACUAACUAUGAUUAGGCCAACAAGGGCGUUCACACCACUAGAGCCUGGUUCACAAUACGACGCUGACGAUGACGCUAGCGCGAGCGUCAUAUUGUGAACAUGUCAACGUCGACGACGAUCGUCGCAGCGUUCGUCCAGCGUUCUUGACGCUGGAGUUGACUCGAGUUCAACUCUAGCGUCGAUUCCGAAAGUGUACCAACGUAACCGGAAACACGUGAUUACUUUCUACAAAUCAAAGAACAGUCCUAUUAAAUCCCGGAUUUGGCAUGGAGGGUCUAAUCGAUAGCGUGCGGAGUUAACCUUGUCUUUGGCGAGUGUAUUUAAAAGAAUACAAAGACCUGCCGCCUUCGUUGAAAGAUUGGUCUGACCCACAUUUGCCGUUGUUGAGAUUCUCUAGCUCUACGCCUACGGCGACGAAUGAGAAGUAGAAGAAUUACAAGUUUUUCGUCCAUCUAUGAUACACGCGUGGUGUCAAAAUUAACGUGCUUUAGCAUACGCUCAACGCUCGAGUAUCCAGACAGGUGCUGACCAACGUCUCAUGACGCUCACGGAAAAACAUUGUGUAGACGAUAUUCGGGGGGGCGGAGCUUCUAGAGCAUGCGCAAUCUCGAGGGUAACGCGCACCUUUCGCCGAUCUCGCUGUACACAAAGUCCACGUUUCCGGGUCUGCUUCUGAACCGUAGAUCAUCUUGCCGUUGACUAGGCUUUAGACGCGUAGGAAGACAUUUCUUGAGUACGGCUUCUCGAGGGUAAGAGACUGCUGUUCAAGUUGAAGUCGCCUGAUUCACACUCUGAACAGAUACACGUGGAGUGGAAAGACGGACUACUCAUUGCCUAGCGAUGGAAGUUUUGUCAGAUGAAGAUUUUGUGGUAGGGGAACCCAUUCGGGGUAACCGAACGUGACGCACUGUCACUGUCUGUGUGACUGAAACUAGGACUACUUUUUCCCCCGUCUAGCGAACCGCUUGAACUUUGGAACUGUGAAAAUAUGUAUCUUGUCGAACUAGAGUCAUGAAAAGUUUGUCUAGCCUAUCCAACUCGUCAUGGAAGGCGAGAAAUUGUCUUGGCUGCUUUCAGUUGAUCUCCACACUGUAUCAAGUACAUUUCUCUACACAAAACCCGUGUAAGACUUGAUUUUAUCAUGAGAAUGCCUUUCCUUGCAACUCAGACUCUGCAGAUGCAAGGUCUUGCUCGAGAACUCUAAUCUUGUUUUGAAGUUCCACUAUUUCAUUUGCUUCUUGUUCAAUUAUCGGACUUAAACCAUCAGCGCCAGCGCCUCGGUGACAUUUUUGACAACUAACAUCUUCAUCUUCAAUUUUGAGAUCACUACUUUAAUUAAUUAAUUAGACACGUCUUGAUCAACUACAGAUGAGGUAGAACAGCCUCUGCUUUCUGAUUUAGACGUUACAGCUAUGGAAUAGUGCGUGUGUGUUGUGUUACUCUAAACAUAACUGUUGCUGGGACUUGUAGACUGGCAGUGCUAAUUGUAAACAGACUACAGAGUAAGUGUACUGUGCUC